ensembl:lncRNA
AUGUGCGCCGGCGCAUGUUUAAGAGUCUCUGCUAUUAAACUUUCUAUCUCCUUCUCCCCAAGACCAGCUUUCCAUUUCAUGACGGCAUCUGGAAUUAAACAGAGGUCACAGCCGUUACAGUAUGCUGUAGUGGCUCCAUACAUUGUUAGUGGCUACUGCACGCAUUACCCUCCUUACACACUCCCCUGGACUGGCCCCACUAAUAAGGCUGAGAUGGUGUGUCUGGAAGAAAACACCAUUUGUUGGCAUGCAGGGUCCUUAAGGUGGUUCUCAAGGUCCUCCAAUUCCUCCUUGCACUGAGCUGUCUUGAGGUCCAAAAUAUCAUCCUCCCUUUGACGACCCUGGUUCCUCCGCAGUAAAAGUAGAAUUUCCCUCAGGCUUUCUACUUUCUGCAGCAGCACCUGCAGUGUUUCUGCAAUAAAGGUUUUUCUUUAAAUAAUUGAAGGAUUGAA